rnacentral:rRNA from 1 species
UGCGUAGGUGGUUUCUUAAGUCAGAGGUGAAAGGCUACGGCUCAACCGUAGUAAGCCUUUGAAACUGGGAAACUUGAGUGCAGGAGAGGAGAGUGGAAUUCCUAGUGUAGCGGUGAAAUGCGUAGAUAUUAGGAGGAACACCAGUUGCGAAGGCGAUUCUCUGGGCCAAAAAACUGACGCUGAGGCGCGAAAGCGUGGGGGAGCAAAACAG